CGAACUCGCCGCUUCAUAGAUGAGCUUAAAGCCGUAUAGCCAAUUCGUUCGGUAGGCUUCUCCUUAGACCUUAGCUUCCGAGGUUUAUGAUUUGGUACGCCAUCUCCGACUCUCCUCUCUUGACGACGAACAACCUCACAACUUUCUCUGCGCUUUUGCUACUUCAAGAGGAACUGAUAGCCCUGGGCUUGGAGGCCUCUCCUGUCCUCAAACUACUUGACGCGAGGGACCAUCCUUGUUUCGUGCUGUGUGAAUUUGCGGGUGACGUGACAGUUCGUAACUUUUCAGUGUGUUCAAAGGGCCAGCUUUGCCUGCAGCACUUGCAUCUUAUUUGACAAUGCAGAACAGCUAUGGUUCAGAUCAGCAGAGGCAAGAUCAUUGGCUCAAGACCACUGUGAGGUGGAGAAGGACAACUAAUGGGGCUUACAAGAACACAGGUGGAGACUACAUGAAUCCAUCCAGAUGGGUGUGGAUGGGGUUGCAGGGUAAAGUGCUGAAACUUGAAAGUGGAGCACCCUGCACCCACCAGUGAGGUUGAACAUUAGAAUAGUAUGUACAUUUACUUAGCAGCAGAAGCAAAUAUGAUGAAACUUCAUAUGCUCUGUUCUGUUCUGUAAAUUGUCACGGGAGGGAAGCACUACAAGCCAAAGCAUGUUCUUUAAUUUCGUCCUGUGAGUCUGUGGCCACCCCACCCAGUGCCUUGCGCACUACCUUCUGCAUCUUAUCACUAUAAUUUUGCCGAAACAACGUUUUCAUGGCAGCAACUUAAUCUUGUUUGGGUGAAAGUCAUCUGAUGCCCAAAAUCAAGAAACGCUUGUUUCAGAGCUCCACCCACACAAAAAUGGCAAUCUUUGCCACCCCAUUCUAUGGAAUCUCUUCUACUGUCACGUUGUUUUCAUAUUUGGAAUCUCUCUCUCUCUCUCUCUCUCACACACACACACUUUUGUACGUUUAGAUUAAACUACAAGGUUUUUGACUACAAAAUCUCUAAUAAUACUAGCAAAAAUCUCUCUCUGGGCACACUUCUUUAUCAA